AUGCAAAAACCUCAUAAUCAGUUUACCAUAAAGCCUGCAUAUAACCAAUUAAACCAGUUUAUGUUUGCGAAACCGAUACCAACAAUAUACCCUGCUAGAUCAUUUCAAAAUCCACAUUCAAGUGCAAAGUCAAUUCAUAAAAAACCAAAAAUAAUUAGCAAUUUCCAUUUAUGUCCUGCAUUCAACAAUAAAGGAGUAGAAAACUUGCAGCCAACAUUGCAUAAUAGAAUUCCUGAUUAA